CCCAGACUCCUACGGGAGGCAGCAGUGGGGAAUAUUGCACAAUGGGGGAAACCCUGAUGCAGCAACGCCGCGUGAGUGAAGAAGUAUUUCGGUAUGUAAAGCUCUAUCAGCAGGGAAGAAAAUGACGGUACCUGAGUAAGAAGCCCCGGCUAACUACGUGCCAGCAGCCGCGGUAAUACGUAGGGGGCAAGCGUUAUCCGGAUUUACUGGGUGUAAAGGGAGCGUAGACGGCGAUGCAAGUCUGAAGUGAAAGCCCGGGGCUCAACCCCGGGACUGCUUUGGAAACUGUAUGGCUGGAGUGCUGGAGAGGCAAGCGGAAUUCCUAGUGUAGCGGUGAAAUGCGUAGAUAUCAGGAGGAACACCGGCGGCGAAGGCGGCCUGCUGGACCGUGACUGACGUUGAGGCUCGAGAGCGUGGGGAGCAAACAGGAUUAGAUACCCGAGUA
rnacentral:rRNA from 1 species